GUCUAGCUCCACGGAUAGAGCAUGGCAUUAACACUGCCAGGGCUGGGGGGUUCGAUUCCCAUUGGCGUCACCCA